rnacentral:rRNA from 1 species
UGCCAGCCGCCGCGGUAAUACGAAGGGACCUAGCGUAGUUCGGAAUUACUGGGCUUAAAGAGUUCGUAGGUGGUUGAAAAAGUUGGUGGUGAAAUCCCAGAGCUUAACUCUGGAACUGCCAUCAAAACUUUUCAGCUAGAGUAUGAUAGAGGAAAGCAGAAUUUCUAGUGUAGAGGUGAAAUUCGUAGAUAUUAGAAAGAAUACCAAUUGCGAAGGCAGCUUACUGGACUAACACUGACUCUGAGGUACGAAAGCGUGGGGAGCAAACAGGAUUAGAUC